rnacentral:rRNA from 1 species
UGUAGUCUCAACGAUGAUGCAUACAUGUCAACUAUGGGUGUUGGCUCCAAUAAUUUGCAUCGGUCUCAAACCAAUGACAUGCAUUUCGAUGACCAUGAGUUCGAGGUGGACGAGGACGGUGAGGGCAUUGCCGAUGCACCAAAAGGAAGAGGAGGCAAUUACACUAACGUUGAAGACAUCUUACUAUGCAAUACUUCGUUGCAAGUGUUGAGGGAUCCAUCCAUUGGAGGUGACCAAAGUAGAGAUGCUUAUUGCCUUCGGAUGAAGGAACACUUUGAUGUACGCAACGAGAGUGGAAUUGACCGCUCCGCUCGAUCUCUUCGCUCCCGGUGGUCGACAAUCAACAAGGAUUGUCAAAAGUGGGCGGCCGCACACAAGUUGAACCCAAGUGGCACUAAUGAUGAUGAUAGAGUAAGUGUCAUUUCAUCCAUGUUCAUCAUGCUUGUUGUUGGUGUUUGA